CAACAGCCCAAGUUGGACGGGGCUUGGAGCAACCUGGGCUAGUGGAAGGUGUCCCUGCCCGUGGCAGGGGGAAUGGAACGAGAUGAGCUCUAAGGCCUCUUCCAAUCCAUGCCAUUCCAUGAU